UAUCAUUCCAAUCACAGAGAGACAAACAAAUUUUCCCAAGUUAGAUUCAUAAGGCAACUAAUCUUUUGGAGUUGAAACACAUAACACGAUUCAGAGAUGUUACCUGAAGAGAUUGUUGUUUAAGGAUUCUGGAUCCUCGAAGAUAUCUCUAUGAAGAAGAAUGCUUCUGUUGUCUUCUCAGACGAACUUGAACUGCAACCCAAAAAUAAAUUGGUAAUUCUUUGAUUAAUCGUACUCAAAAUUGAAAUUAAAAAAACGAGUAAAUUAACUUAGAAAAUUGGAAACUGUAAUUCAUAAGAAGAAGCAAAAGUCAUGGAUUAGAUUAGUUUCAAUGAAAAAUCGAAUACACCAAAACAAUAAUGAUAGAUUAAGAAGUUAAAAAAAGAACGUUUCCGGAGAUUAUGAAACCCUAACGAAUCAAUCUUAUGGCUUUUUUUUUCUUCUAAAACCCAAAUCGAGUGCAAAAAGAGGAAGAACUUAUCGCGAAUUUGAAACCCUAACGAAUAAAUCAUCGAUUUCACAAACAAUAAACGAGAUGAAAUUGAACGAUUUUCAAAAUCGAAAAAGUAAACAAAAUCAUGAAAACUCAGAUGAAAAUAAAGAAUAAUCGAUUAAGAAACAUACAAAUCAACUUUGAAAAACCGCCGACGAAGGAGCCACUAAGAGAAUAAUGAAUCAUUUGAGAGCUUUGUUUUCUUCUUCUGUGUAGAGAGAGAGAGAGAUAGAUAGAGAGAGAGAGAGAG
rnacentral:lncRNA from 1 species